rnacentral:rRNA from 1 species
GACGAACGCUGGCGGCGUGCCUAAUACAUGCAAGUCGAACGCACAGUUUAUACCGUAGCUUGCUACACCAUAGACUGUGAGUUGCGAACGGGUGAGUAACGCGUAGGUAACCUGCCUGGUAGCGGGGGAUAACUAUUGGAAACGAUAGCUAAUACCGCAUAAUAUUGAUUAUUGCAUGAUAAUUAAUUGAAAGGUGCAAUUGCACCACUACCAGAUGGACCUGCGUUGUAUUAGCUAGUAGGUGAGGUAACGGCUCACCUAGGCGACGAUACAUAGCCGACCUGAGAGGGUGAUCGGCCACACUGGGACUGAGACACGGCCCAGACUCCUACGGGAGGCAGCAGUAGGGAAUCUUCGGCAAUGGACGAAAGUCUGACCGAGCAACGCCGCGGGAGUGAAGAAGGUUGUCGGAUCGUAAAGCUCUGUUGUAAGAGAAGAACGGGUGUGAGAGUGGAAAGUUCACACUGUGACGGUAUCUUACCAGAAAGGGACGGCUAACUACGUG